CCUACGGGAGGCUGCAGUGGGGGAUAUUGGGCAAUGGACGCAAGUCUGACCCAGCAACGCCGCGUGAAGGAAGAAGGCUUUCGGGUUGUAAACUUCUUUUAAGGGGGAAGAGCAGAAGACGGUACCCCUUGAAUAAGCCACGGCUAACUACGUGCCAGCAGCCGCGGUAAUACGUAGGUGGCAAGCGUUGUCCGGAUUUACUGGGUGUAAAGGGAGCGUAGGUGGCAUGGUAAGCCAGAAGUGAAAACCCGGGGCUCAACCCCGCGGAUUGCUUUUGGAACUAUCAGGCUGGAGUGCUGGAGGGGUAAGCGGAAUUCCUAGUGUAGCGGUGAAAUGCGUAGAUAUUAGGAGGAACACCGGUGGCGAAGGCGGCUUACUGGACAGAAACUGACACUGAGGCUCGAAAGCGUGGGGAGCAAACAGGAUUAGAUACCCGGGUAGUC
rnacentral:rRNA from 1 species